rnacentral:tRNA from 1 species
GCCAAGGUAGCGAAGUGGACAAACGCACCUCUCUGUAAAAGAGGAGCCGCAAGGCUUCCCAGGUCCGAAUCCUGGCCUUGGCACCC